rnacentral:rRNA from 1 species
AGCGAACGCUGGCGGCAGGCCUAACACAUGCAAGUCGAACGAACUCUUCGGAGUUAGUGGCGGACGGGUGAGUAACACGUGGGAACGUGCCUUUUGGUUCGGAAUAACUCAGGGAAACUUGUGCUAAUACCGAAUGUGCCCUUCGGGGGAAAGAUUUAUCGCCAUUAGAGCGGCCCGCGCCUGAUUAGCUAGUUGGUGAGGUAACGGCUCACCAAGGCGACGAUCAGUAGCUGGUCUGAGAGGAUGACCAGCCACACUGGGACUGAGACACGGCCCAGACUCCUACGGGAGGCAGCAGUGGGGAAUCUUGCGCAAUGGGCGAAAGCCUGACGCAGCCAUGCCGCGUGAAUGAUGAAGGUCUUAGGAUUGUAAAAUUCUUUCACCGGGGACGAUAAUGACGGUACCCGGAGAAGAAGCCCCGGCUAACUUUGUG